rnacentral:rRNA from 1 species
UAGGGAAUCUUCGGCAAUGGACGGAAGUCUGACCGAGCAACGCCGCGUGAGUGAAGAAGGUUUUCGGAUCGUAAAGCUCUGUUGUAAGAGAAGAACGAGUGUGAGAGUGGAAAGUUCACACUGUGACGGUAUCUUACCAGAAAGGGACGGCUAACUACGUGCCAGCAGCCGCGGUAAUACGUAGGUCCCGAGCGUUGUCCGGAUUUAUUGGGCGUAAAGCGAACGCAGGCGGUUAGAUAAGUCUGAAGUUAAAGGCUGUGGCCUAACCAUAGUACGCUUUGGAAACUGUUUAACUUGAGUGCAAGAGGGGAGAGUGGAAUUCCAUGUGUAGCGGUGAAAUGCGUAGAUAUAUGGAGGAACACCGGUGGCGAAAGCGGCUCUCUGGCUUGUAACUGACGCUGAGGCUCGAAAGCGUGGGGAGCAAACAGGAUUAGAUACCCUGGUAGUCCACGCCGUAAACGAUGAGUGCUAGGUGUUAGACCCUUUCCGGGGUUUAGUGCCGCAGCUAACGCAUUAAGCACUCCGCCUGGGGAGUACGACCGCAAGGUUG